rnacentral:lncRNA from 1 species
CGCCAAGAUGCUCCAGGGCUUCUUGUUUCUUCUUGGGAGAGGUGCUAAUAACAGUCACCUUGACCCCAAUGGCCUUUGCAAACUUUACAGCUACAUGACCUAGCCCGCCGAGCCCAACCACGCCCACAUGCAUUCCCGGUUUGUCAAGACCGUAAAAUCUCAAGGGGCUAUACACUGAAAUUCCAGCGCAUAGGAGAGGUGCGGCGGCAUCUAGAGGUAGGUUGUCUGGAAUAUGAACAACGAAGUGCUCAUCUACGACCAUAAUGUCCGAGUAGCCCCCGUACGUGGUGGUUCCGUCGUGGUAUUUGCUGGCAUAGGAGAGUAUCAUUUUUGGGCAAUAAUUCUCGAGAUGGCUGUUGCAACUAUCGCAAGAGCGGCAUGAUCCAACCAUGCACCCCACCCCCACUUUGUCUCCAACUUUGAUCUUCUCGACUUUGCUUCCUACCUCUGUCACUUCCCCGACAAUCUCAUGCCUGCAUUGCCAAUUUAAUUUAAUUAACCUCCAGCGGCGGAGCUGGUAAUAAUCGGUAGCGAAGGUCAAAAUUAAUAUAAAAAAGAUAUAUUAUUAAAAAGUUUAUUUAUUUAAAAUAAAAAAUAUUAUAUAUUUUAUAUUUAAAUACUAAAUAAUAAAAAGUUUAAAAUGUUUUGCGGAGCCAGCCCCUGCUUGCCUCCCCUAGUUCCGCCCCUGCCUCAUAUGCAAGGCAUGGCUGAAUUUAUUCCAGUCAAAGUUCCUCUAAACAUCUUCGUUGGACUGCCAAUUGCCAUUCAUCAUGUUUAUGUACAAAAAAUCAAGAGAAUAACUAUACGGCCAUGGAUUUUUCUUGCUGUGUGUACAUACCCGGGAACUAGAGGGUACGUGGACAUACCCCAAUCAUUCUUGGCCAUAUGAAGGUCUGUGUGACAUAUUCCACAAAACAGCACCUUGAAUCGCACAUCCUUCUCUCCUGUAGACCUGUUGAAAGAGGUGUUUCUUGCUUAGCAUAAACCGCAAGUGAAAACGAGAGAUAUUCAUAGGUAGAAAAUCUAUCAGAUCGCCAUUCACCAACCAUAAUAUUGCUAAACAUAUAUAUAAAGCUAUGAACAUGUGAUUCAAUAAACUUAUUUCACAUAAUAAAAAUAAAAGGCUGCCAUAUCUGAUGUAGCCCAUCUUGCAGCUGUGCUGCAUGCUUGUUGGUGUUUAGAAAAACAAGAAGAAAAUGGAUCUAAGUAAAACCGAGCUAGACAGAGAGAGAGAAGAAGUCCCAUAAUUAAAUAAAUAAAGCAGCGACAAGAUGGAGGAGAGGGAAUAACCUCCUGGAGAAUUUGAAAGGAGAGAGGACCCCGGAUUGGUCUCUGGCUGCCCAUCCAAAAGCCUUGGUAGGAUGUUCUUCCUCGUAAGAUUUUUCUGCCAUUUUCGCCUCCUUUUGCUCUAUUUGGUACUGCCGAGAGAGUGUGCAUGGUGCACUAAUUUAUAAUGGCGGGUGGUCAGCCAUUGCGUAUAAUGGGCAGGGAUGACAUGUUGGUGAGCUAAGCACCGUUAGUCGCUCAUCCGUGAGCCAAUCAAUUAUCUCGAGAGAAAAGCCAUCUGUCCAUUAGCUAGUUAUAAAAUUUGAAACGAACAAGAACGUCUUUUUUUGUGUUUUAAAAAUAAUUAAAAAUAAUUAUUUUUUUUUAAUUAUUAUUUUUUUAAUAUUAUUAAAUUAUUUUAAUAUAUUAAUAUCAAAAUUAAUUUUUAAAACAUAUAAAAAAUAUAUUAUAUUAAUAUAUUUUUAUAUAAAAAAUAAUUUAAAAAAUAAUCGUAACCUCAAUCAACAAUCGAAGAGUUUCGAAUCUCAAGUACACGCUGUCGUUUACUCUCAACUCUAUUUCCUUGCGUUGAAUUAACAAGUGAAAACUGAAUUUCCGGCCUCCAAACCAAUGGUUGUGUGCCUCCUAAUAAAAUAAUAUAUUGGAGAAGUUUUGAACCGCAUUUUAUUUAUUCUCUUUAUGGAUCAACAACUAAUAAACAUUCAUAAAAAGAGAUGCAAUGCAAGUAUGCCUGUUAGCCAGACCAGGUGAACGCAAGAAAAUAAUGGCAAAAAAAAAAAACCAAUUCACCAAAAACAAUGUUAUAUGAACCGCAUUUUAUUUAUUCUCUUUAUGGAUCAACAAAUAAUAAAAUCUUGAUUCUUAAAACAAUAAAUAAAAUCAUGAACAGCAAACCAUUUUCUCUUUUUGCAUCAACAGAUAAUAAAAUCAAGAACAACAGGCAAGGUAAUUACACAAAGUCCCUCAAAAAGAAAGUCAAACGAGCAGCGCGAUGUCCGAAUCUACUUAUUAUUAUACAUAGUACCUGUUUAGGAUUGUGUUUGAAAAGCGAUUUUUAUAAAAUUAAAAAAAAAAUUUGUUUAGAAUUAAUAUGUUUUUGAUGUGCUGAUCUCAAAAAUAAUUUUUAAAAAUAAAAUUAUUAACAUAUUUUUUUAAAUAAAAUAUAUUUUAAAAAAUAACCACAACUACCAUCACAAACACGUUAAUAUCCUAGGAAAGCAAGCAGUGACAACAACAGGAAAAACCUGGUGUUUGCUGAGUAUGUGUGCUGAUUAGUACUGUCUGUGGGCUCUGAGAGAGCUUAGACCCGAGGGCUAUUUAUAAGGUUUUGUGGAAGCUUGCGGGACCCCGGAACAGAACCUGGAAGGCUGGAACACCUGCGCCAUGUUCAUAAAUGGCAAGGGGUGUUUAUAUAGUGAGGGCUCGGGUAAGUUUCCACAAAGAAAACGCGUGGGGUCAUAGAUAACGUGGACGGCUGGAACACAGAGGCCAGCAAGAAAACGGAUGGUGCUAAAAAAUAAUUUGAUUUUUAUUAACGUUAGCGGACACUUGUCCUCAUUUUAUUUCCCUAAAUUGGUAACCGUUACCUAUAACUAGUCUCCAUGUCAAACACUCAACGUAGUUAAAACGGCAUGUCGGCGUGGGAUUGGGUUGCGGGCCUUCGAUUUGGUAAGCUGGGCCUGCAUACUUGGAUCUCAUCUCCCUGCAUUAUUAUUAUUAUUAUGAGUGCUAUAAAUGACAUGCUAAACUAAUGCUUGGAAAAAAAGAAGAAGAAAAUCAACACAAAAAAAAUUGCAAAAGAUAAAUACACACGAAAAAAUAAAUUCAACUAAAAAGAUUUGUAUGAAAAAAAUUAAAAAAUACUAUAAAUAAAUCAACUAAAAAUUGAUCUCACGUGAAAAAAAAAUCAUACAACAACAUUUAUAAAACUAUUAAGAAAAAAAACAAUUAAAAAUAAAAUGAAAACAUAUAUAGUGAAAAAUACAUGAAAAAAUAAGAUUUUUUUUUUACCUUAAUAUAGUUGCAAGUGAAGUUAAGAAGAGAAAUUUUUUCGUAAAAUGAUUAAUUAAAAAAAAUUGAGAAAAAAAUAAGAAGGAAGAAGAAGACAAACUUGAGCAUGGAGAAGAAGAGAAGGGGUCGAGGAGAGAAGAAGAGAAAGGGUCGAGGUCUAUUGUGAAAUUAGGGAUUCUAGACUUUUUAUUGGGCGUUUUACCAAUAAUUUUGCAGAUGGAUUAUUAAAUAUUAAUAUUUUUAAUUAUUUUGUCGACGAUUCCGUCCGUAAUAUUUAAUUUAAAUUUUGAAUUUAAUCAAAAAAUUUCAAAAACCAUCAAAUAUCACUGGCGACUUUUCAAUCUGUCGGUGAUUCUGUUUGUAAUAUUUAGUUUAAAAUUUUACUCUAAGCUAAGUUUUUCAGAAAACUGCCCAAUAACAUCGACGAAUUUUCAAUCUAUCGUUGAUUUUAUCUAUAAAAAACAGUAACUAACAAUAAAAUUUGAAAGUGAAUAAUUCCAGAGCUCUGUAAAAUAUAGACAGAAGUUUCUGUUGGUGAUUCCGUUUGUAAUUGGCAUGAUGAAUAGUGUUCACAAUUUACCAACAAUUUUACCAAUAAAAUUUACGGAUAGAAUAAAUUCUGUUAGUAAUUCCGUUGAAAGAACAACUUGUCAUCAUUUUUUUUACCUUGUUUUAUUUUUUUUAAUGUAAUUGUUUUUGGUAAAUAUUGAUGGAAUAUUUUCAUCAGUAAAAUUCUUAGGUAAUCUAUGAACAAAAAAAAUUACAUCAGUAUUUUUAUUUAUAUUUAUCAAUAAAAGUUGAAAAAUUAUUUUUUUAAUAAUCAUCUAUCUGGUUUUUUCGAAGACUACGUACUCUAUCGUGGGAGCGCACUAUUGUCAACCCGGCAAUGAAAGGCAACAUGGUAAUUAAAAACUCCAAAGUCGUGUUUUUGUUCAGCAUUCAAUACAUAAAAAACAGUGAGAAAGAAAGCACUCGUUAUCCAUGUCCCACUCCCACGCAGACAUGAUCUGAUUUAAUCAAUUUUGAAUUAUGGGAUAGUACUGACCUAAUUAAUUUGACAAUUCAACAUCUUAAUAUUCUUAAUUACAAGAGUACUUUGUCCAUGUUUGACGUCCUUUAUUCUUAGAGAUGAGAUGGAAAUAAAUUAAUUUUAUUCAAUGUGUGGGAUUGAAAAGAUCAUGAUUAAAUUGACGCCAAGGGUUCAAGUAAUUAUUAUGAUAAAUGGAAAAAUAAAUUAAUGUGUGGGAUUGAAAAGAUCAAGAUUAAUAUGACCUAUAUAUAUUUGUUAAAACAGGACUUUCUGAUAAUUUUCUCAAAGAAUAAGGUCAUGUCUGCAAAUAACAGGGCUGCUCUCUUUGUUGAAAUCUAAUAGUUUUCCACUGUACUGAGUAAAAGCUUGUGAGUAUAAAAAGAAAAACAUGUGCAAAAAUGUACUCCAUUGAUCGAUUCAUAUAAAGCGAAACUCUUCUGAUAAAUAAUAAAAAGGUGAGGGGCUUAAACAAAAUAAAUCAAAGCAGAAACACUUGGAACAUAAAAUUUACACAGAAAUAGAGGUACUAAAUAACGUCACCUCAUUGCUUCAAUUUUCAAAACAUGAUUACAGUGUGCUUACAGAGAUACCGAAAACUCCAUAAUUUUCAAACCCACGAAUCUCACAUUACAUGCGUUUUAUUUCGUACAGUGUUUACGAGGAGGAGAAUUCAAAUCUUCAUGGUGUUGCCGAUGUCAAUAACAAAUCGGUAUCUGACAUCUGCUUUCGAAAGCCGCACCAUUGCGGUGUUCACAUAAUCCAUCGAGAUAACCUCAAUGUCUGCAGUGAUGUUGUUCUUGGCAGCAAAAUCAAUCAUCUCUUGUGUUUCCUUCAUUCCUCCUAUGCUGCUCCCUCCCACUAUUUUUCUUCCUGCCAAGCCAAGAACAUGGAAUUCGUCGCUGUCAGCUCAAUAAAAUAAAUUUAGAACACAUGCUGAGAUGCAAGCAUAUAUACAUACCCAUGAUCAGAGGAAACACUGGUAGCUCAAGUGGCUUCUCAGGCGCACCAACCAAGACCAGUUUUCCUUGAGUCUUCAAUAGACUAAUCAAAGGCAAGAUAGGAUGUAUGGCCGACACCGUGUCAAUCACACCAUCCAUUGUGCCCAUAGCAGCCUGAAUAACAGACAAUAUUAUAUUAUGUUUGAUGCUUAAUUAGUUUUACAGAUAAAUACAAGGAAUGUGCUCUGAACCAUGUUUAUAUAUAUAUAUACCUGCAUCUCAUCCUGGUCACGACUAACUAGAAACGAGUCAGCACCAAGAUGCUCAAGGGCUUCUUGUUUCUUCUUGGGAGAGGUGCUAAUAACUGUAACCUUGACCCCCAUGGCCUUUGCAAACUUUACAGCUACAUGACCUAGCCCGCCGAGCCCAACCACGCCCACAUGCAUACCCGGUUUGUCAAGAUUAAAAAACCUCAAGGGGCUGUAAACUGUAAUCCCAGCACAUAGGAGAGGUGCGGCGGCAUCUAGAGGUAGGUUGUCUGGAAUAUGAACAAGGAAGUGCUCAUCUACGACCAUAAUGUCCGAGUAGCCCCCGUAUGUGGUGGUUCCGUCGUGGUAUUUGCUGGCAUAGGAGAGUAUCAUUUUUGGGCAAUAAUUCUCGAGAUGGCUGUUGCAACUAUCGCAAGAGCGGCAUGAUCCAACCAUGCACCCCACCCCCACUUUGUCUCCAACUUUGAUCUUCUCGACUUUGCUUCCUACCUCUGUCACUUCCCCGACAAUCUCAUGCCUGCAUUGCCAAUUUAAUUUAAUUAACCUCCAGCGGCGGAGCUGGUAAUAAUUGGUAGCGAAGGUCAAAAUUAAUAUAAAAAAGAUAUAUUAUUAAAAAGUUUAUCUAUUUAAAAUAAAAAAUAUUUUAUAUUUUAUAUUUAAAUAAUAAAUAAUAAAAAGUUUAAAAUGUUUUGUGGAGCCAGACCCUGCUUGCCUCCCCUAGUUCCGCCCUGCCUCAUAUGCAAGGCAUGGAUGAAUUGAUUCCAGUCAAAGCAGUUCCUCUAAACAUUUUCGUUGGACUGUCAAUUGCCAUCCAUCAUGUUUAUGUACAAAAAAUCAAGAGAAAUAACUAUACGGUCAUAGAUUUUUUUCUUGCUGUGUGUACAUACCCGGGAACUAGAGGGUACGUGGACAUACCCCAAUCAUUCUUGGCCAUAUGAAGGUCUGUGUGACAUAUUCCACAAAACAGCACCUUGAAUCGCACAUCCUUCUCUCCUGUAGACCUGUUGCAAGAGGUGUUUCUUGCUUAGCAUAAACCGCAAAUGAAAACGAGAGAUAUUCAUAGGUAGAAAAUCUAUCAGAUCGCCAUUCACCAACCAUAAUAUUACUAAACAUAUAUAUAAAGCUAUAAACAUGUGAUUCAAUAAACUUAUUUCACAUAUUAAAAAUAAAAGGCUGCCAUAUCUGAUGUAGCCCAUCUUGCAGCUGUGCUGCAUGCUUGUUGGUGUUUAGAAAAACAAGAAGAAAAUGGAUCUAAGUAAACAGAGCUAGACAAAGAGAGAGAAGAAGUCCCAUAAUUAAAUAAAUAAAGCAGCGACAAGAUGGAGGAGAGGGAAUAACCUCCUGGAGAAUUUGAAAGGAGAGAGGACGCCGGAUUGGUCUCUGGCUGCCCAUCCAAAAGCCUUGGUAGGAUGUUCUUCCUCGUAAGAUUUUUCUGCCAUUUCCACCCUCUUUUUUCCUUUAUUUGGUACUGCCGAGAGAGUGUGCAUGGUGCACUAAUUUAUAAUGGGCAGGGAUGACAUACUGGGUGAGCUAAGCACCUUUAGUCGCUCAUCCGUGAGCUAAUCAAUUACCUCGACAGAAAAGCCAUCUGUCCAUUAGCUAGUUAUAAAAUUGGAAACAAUCACGUUGGUUUAUUUAUGUGUUUUAAAAAUAAUUUUUUUAAUUAAUAUAUUUUAAUAUUUUUAAAUUAUUUUAAUACACUAAUAUCAAAAUUAAUUUUUAAAACAUAUAAAAAAUAUAUUAUAUUAAUAAAAUUUUAAAUAAAAAAUAUUUUAAAAAAUAAUAAUAGCCUCAACCAUAGAAGAGUUUCGAAUCUCAAGUACACGCUGUCGUUUACUGUCAACUCUAUUUCCUUGCGUUGAAUUAACAAGUGACAAGUGAAUUUCCGGCCUCCAAACCAAUGGUUGUGUGCCUCCUAAUAAAAUAAUAUAUUGGAGAAGUUUUGAACCGCACUUUAUUUAUUCUCUUUAUGGAUCAACAAGUAAUAAACAUUCAUAAAAAGAGAUGCAAGUAUGCCUGGUAGCCAGACCAGGUGAACGCAAGAAAAUAAUGGCAAAAAAAAAAACCAAUUCACCAAAAACAAUAUUAUAUGAACCGCAUUUUAUUUAUUCUCUUUAUGGAUCAACAAAUAAUAAAAUCUUGAUUCUUAAAACAAUAAAUAAAAUCAUGAACAGCAAACCAUUUUCUCUUUUUGCAUCAACAGAUAAUAAAAUCAAGAACAACAGGCAAGGUAAUUACACAAAGUCCCUCAAAAAGAAAGUCAAGCGAGCAGAGACAACAACAGGGAUGAGCAAAACACAGCCGCGGACAUCCCCAGAGAAUAGGCUGCUCCCUUGUCCAUUGUUGGUGCAGGUGCUGGCUCCAUCUCAAGAUCUUGAGCAGUAACAGUUGCAAAAUACAUGGCCACAACAAAGAAGAUGGCCAUAGCCUUGAAUGCACACACUAAUUGUGCCAUGGAGACAGAGAAAAAUAGAACUUUUGUGGUUGGUUGCCACAUGGUUUGGGUUGGUUAAGCUGCUUCAAUCCCAAGGACCUUAACUUGUAAGGAAAAUUCUAGUGUGGGACUUUGGGCAGUUUGUAACUCCGAGCUUUUCUAAAUUUUGAAAAUUUUUAUUUAUUUAUUUUAUUUUUUAUAUUUUUUCAUCAUAUAUUAAUAUUAAAAAUAAUUUUAAGAAAAUAAAAUAAUUAUUACAAGAAUCACAAACAUCCCUUUUCAUUACACUCUAAAAUACAAUGCUAAAAUUUUGAAACACAUUUUACACCUUAAAUUUCAAUAUUUCUUUCGGUUGGCCCAUGUUAAAACACGUUGAAGGUUAAAGAAAACCUUCGUGGCUAAAUCACUAUAGCCAUGUUCACAUGAUUUUAUUCACUAUAAUACUGUUCUAAGUUUUUAUUUUUACUUUUUUUUAUUUCAUCACGAUCUAUCAUUGAUUUUUAGUUUGUUUUCAAUUUUAAUAUUUAAUAUUAUGUUUUUUUAAAAAUUCUAUUUUGUAAAUUUUUUAUUUUUAUAUAUUGGGUUAUAUAUUAGUUUCAUGAAUUUAAUUUUUUUCUUAUAAUUUUUUUCAACUUGCUUUUUAUAAAUUUACUGAGAUCGCGGGUUUAAUAAGUUAACCGAGGUUGGCUUGGGUUUUUUUAGCCGCCUUUUCUAAUUAAUUAUUUUUUAUUCUUCAACAUUGAGUUAGUUGAAAAUUAGAUUUGAUUUUUUUUCUUUUUUUAAUUGAGCAUUUUUUAUGGGGCUUUAUAAAAAAAUUUGAAUUUUUUUUUUAGGGUUAUCUCGAUCUCAUAAUUUAGAUCACAAGUUUAAUAGGUUGAUCCAAGUUAACUCUAUUCAUUUUUUAUGUUUUUUUAAAAUUAAAAAUAUUUUAAAAAACUUUCACCGCUCAAAAACUCAAAUCUUCCUCUCUUUUUUUAAUUUUUUUUUUAAUUUCAUCUCUCGAUAUUAAGUUGUUUAGAAGUUUAGCUAGGUAAUUUUUUUCAAUUUGCAUUUUGUAGAGUUAUCCUGGUUUUAUAGAUAAAUUUCUUUUCUUUAAAUUUCAACCUUUAACAUUAAAUCAAUUAAAAAUAGAGCUCCAUGACUUUUUUAUUUAUUUGCCUUUUAUAAUGUUACCUGGAUCUUAUGAUCCAGGUCGCGAGUUUAACAGGCUAACCCAGGUUGACUUGGGUUGUUUCUUGUCCUUUUAAUUUUCUUAUUUCAUCAUUUUAAAUCGUGUUGAUUGGAAAUUAAGCUCAUAAGUUUGUUUCCUUGUUUUUUAUAGGAUUAUCUCAAUCUCAUGGUCCAGAUCCUGAUUUUUGCAAGUUGAUUUAAGUAGUUUUUUUGUCCUUUUUUUAAUUUAAUAUUCUUUUUUUUUAAUUUCAUUCUUCAGCUUUUGAAUGAUUAGGAAUUGACUUCCAUUGUAUAUUUUGAUUUGUUUUUUUUUAUAGGGUUGUUACAAUCUCAAGACUUGAAUUGCGAAUCUGACAAGUUAAUCCGGAUUGAUCCAAUAUAUAAUUACCUUUUAAUAUGUUACUCUAUUAAUAUUUUUUUUAAAAUACACCAUUCAAUAUGCAUUACCUUUUAAGUUUAUAAUUGAUUUUUCUUAUUAAGAAACAUGUCAAUAAUGCUUCAACAUUUGUUUUUAAGUAGUAGUGACAGUAAUAGUAGUAGUAGUAGUAGUAGUAAUAGUUGUGAAUGUAGUGGUAAUAAUAAUAAUAUUAUUAAUAAUAAUAAUACUAGUGGUAAUGAUACUAGCUAGAAGUACUAGCAACAACAAUGAUAAUAAUAAAAAAAAUUGAUCUGCAGAUAAAAGUUGAUCUCGCCUCAAAGUUCCUCCCUUUUUAAAAAAAUUAACGCUGCUUAAAAUUAAAAAUUUAGUAAAAUAAUAUAUACAUAAAAAUUAUAAACUCCAAAAUGAAAAAGAAAAAAAGCAAAGCCCAUUUAUAUUGCUAAAAUGAAUAUUAUAAAAAGAGUUGCUAAAACGAAAUAAUAAUUUAUUAAUAUCAAAGAAAAUACACAAGUUCUAAUAAAUCGAUAUACACAUGCCCCUCGUCUUAAAAAAAGAAAUACAACCACAAGCAAACCCACAUAUAAAAAAUAAAUCUUUAUUUCACUGUAUAAACAAAUUAUAUAAUAUACUAAAAAAGAGUCAAUCCUCUUCUUAAUAUUUAGCUAGACUCAAAGCACUAUGGAUUGAAGCAGUGUAAUAGCAACUUAGGCGCCCUUUACAAAGAGAGUUGCGAGGGUAGUGGGGUUGUCUUUUUAUUUGGAUGCAUUUGACAUUGAAUAGAUAGUUGGAGAGAAAAUGAUCACUUCAAGUUUGGGUGGGGCUACUCUAGGUGUCAGCCAAGCUUGCUCACCUACAUGAGGACACCUGGCGUUUAAGUUGACCUGCAUCACAUGGAGCUUGGACUGGCUUGCUCUUGCCAUGGGUGGCAGCCAAGCCCGCGCACUCACGUGAGGAUACUUGACGCUUGGGCUGCCCUGCCCUGCCCUUAUCUUGGAUCUGACCCGAGCGCCACGUGGUGCUAGGCUGGCAUGUCUUUGCCUUAGACGAGAGCCAGACUCAUACCCUCACAUGAAAACACUCGACGCUGGGGUUGCCUUGCCUUGAACAAAGCCAAACCGCUCAACUUGGGUCCAAACAUGCUCCAAGCCCAAUAAACUGGUUUUGCAUGGAAGUGUCCAAGUCCAAUUAGAAGUACUCAUGGCAACACUUGGAGUCCUGAUUUUAUUUCCCUAUCUUGGUAAACCGUUACCUAACACUAUUCCUCAUUUCAAACACUCAACGUAAUUUGUGUUAGCAUGGAAAGUUAGCACAAAAAAUUGAUUUCAAAUUAAUUAAUAGGAUUAAUUUAAGAAGAUCAAAGUUGAAAAACUAAUUUUUAAAUGAUCAUUUAUCUGUUUUGUAAUGGGAUUAAUUUAAGGAGAUCAAAGUUGAAUUAAAAACUCAUUUUUAAAUGAUCAUUUAUCUGUUUUUUAAAGACCACGUACUAUAUCUUUGUAGCACUAUUGUCAGCCUGGCAAUGAAAGGCAACAUGGUAAUUAAAAACUUCAAAUUAGUGGUCAACAUUCAACACAUAAAAAAAUAGUGAGACAGAAAGCAGUUGUUUUCCAUGUCCCACUUCCACACAAAUGAUAUGUUAAUUUAAUCAAUUUUGAAUUAUGGGAUAGUGACCUAAUUAAUUUAACAAUUCAACAUCUUAAUAUUUUUAAUUGUAAGAGUACUUUCCUCGUCCAUGUUUGACGUCCUUUAUUCUAAACUCAUCCAAGCACUGGUUGUACAACGAAAAUCAACACCAAACACAUAAAAUAUUAAGAGAGAAGUAGUUCUUUCUCCGUCAAAUAAUUAAAGGAGGAAAGUUUUUUUUUUGUGUGUUUUAGAGAGAGAAAAGAUGGAAAUAAAUUAAUUUUAUUCAAUGUGUGGGAAUGAAUAGAUCAUUGAUUAAAUUGACGCUAAGGGUUUAAGUAAUUAUGAUAAAGGAAAAUAAAUUGAUAAAUGUCCAAAGAAUAAGGUCAUGUCUGCAAAUAACAGGGUUGCUCUCUUGGUUGAAAUCUGAUACUUUUCCACUGUACUGAGUAAAAGCAUGUGCAUAUGAAAAUAAAUCUUAAACGGAUAAGUGAUAACGUUGAAGUACGGGCGCUUGAAAAGAAAAACAUCGCAGUUUUCUUAUCUUAAAUUGGGCUGGGUUAGCCGAAAUGUACUCCAUUAAUCGAUUCAUAUAAAGUGACGCUCUCCAGAUAGAGAUGUUUUUAUAUUUUUACAUGGCUAUUAGUCAUUAUAAAUUUAAUUGAUAAUAUUUUUAUUUAUUUAAUAUUUUUAAUAAUAGUAAAUUAACAAAAAUACCUUAAUAAUAAAAGAAUCAACAUAGCAGGGCAAUAGUGUUUUGGUAUUUUUUUUAUAAAUAAUUAAAUUAUACAUGCUCCCUUAAAUUCAAGAAAAGAAAAUAAUUGAGGUUAGGGGUAUUAGGAUUUUUUAGUCUAAUUUCUUUUUCUUGCAAUUGUAUGAUUGAUUGAAGGUACAAAUAUAAUUUAAUAUUUAAAUAAUAUUUUUAAUGUGAAAGAAAUGCUAGUAUAUUGGGGCUACUAUGUACUUUGGAUGGUGGCUCCCAAUGGUAAAAAAUAGACUUUGACUGUGUAAUUCUAUUCCUCAUUGUCUUCUCAUCUUUCAUCAUGUGUUGCAUGUGUUAAAAAUAAUAAUAAUAAUAAUAAUAAUAAUGUUGUCUUAACUAAAACUAGUUUUGUCAAUUUCCAUUUGUUUACGAAGGUGUCUUGAUCAAAAUUUUCCAAUAAAAGCAUGACACAUGUAUCAUUUAAUCAGCAAUUAAUUGGGUGUUAAAACAUGUAAUUAAGCAGGUCUCUCAUGCCCUCCUUUCGUAUCUGUCUUUAUUUGUUCAUAAAUAGGGAAGCAAAAAACAAAAAAAAAUCUCCAUCGAGAGAGCGACAUUAACUAGACCACGAACUUAUCUCGAGAUAUCAAAACUCAAAAAGAAAAAUUGAACGCUAAUCAAUUAAGACAGAGAAAAAUAAUUCUAACUUUUAGCUGUCGAAUUUGCUUCCUUCAAGUUUUCAGAGAUGCAAGGCAAAAGAAAGGACUAGAAUGAGAAUACCUAAUUUGAUUGUACCAGUAAGCUAUUUUUAAGAAAUUAGUUCGUAAGGACAAUCCUUGAAAUUGAAUCAAUUAAUCCCCUCUCCUUGCAGAAGAAAAAAGUAGCAGACUAUAUAAAUUAAUUCCUCGUCUCGUAUAUACUAACAAGUUAUUGGAAUAAUUUUUCUUUUCUCUAAGAAUAUAUGACAGAUCACAUUAAUGCGGGUUAGUCCAUUGUACCCUCUUUUGUUUUGGUUUAAAAAAUGGAUAUUUAAUAGUUUUAUUAUACAUCCAACAAGAAUUAUUGUAUUUUUCUCAUAAGUUAUUAUAUUUAUGUCAGGAUUUAAAUUUAUUAGGAAACCGUAGUGAAUAAGAUUAUUUGAUAUUGAUUUAUCUGUUAACUAUAUAUGAUUUAUUAAUCUCAAUUCAAUUUUGUUUUUUACUCUAGUAAUUGACCUGCAGACAAAAGUUGAUCUCGCCUCAAAGUUCCUCCCUUUUUAAAAAAAUUAACGCUGCUUAAAAUUAAAAAUUUGGUAAAAUAAUAUAUCCAUAAAAAUUAUAAACUCAGAAACGAAAAAGAAAAAAAAGCAAAGCCCAUUUAAUUUGCUAAAAUGAAUAUUAUAAAAAGAGUUGCUAAAAAAAAUAAUAAUUUAUUAAUAUCAAAGAAAAUACACAAGUUCUAAUUAAUAAAUCGAUAUACACAUGCCCCUCGUCUAAAAAAAAAUACAACCACAAGACAACCCACAUAUAAAAAAUAAAUCUUUAUUUCACUGUAUAAACAAAUAAAUAAAUUAUACAAUAUACUAAAAAGAGUCAAUGUUUUUUUUAAUAUUUACCUAGACUCAAAAUACUAUGGAUUGAAGCAGUGUAAUAGCAGCUUAGGCCCCCUUAACAAAGAGAGUUGCGAGGGCAGUGGAGUUGUCUUUUUAUUUGGAUGCAUUUGACAUUGAAUAGAUAGUUGGGGAGAAAAUGAUCACUUCAAGUUUAGGUGGGGCUACUCUAGGUGUCAGCCAAACUUGCUCACCCACAUGAGGACACCUGGCGUUUAGGUUGACCUGCACCACAUGGAGCUUGGACUGGCUUGCUCUUGCCAUGGGUGGCAACCAAGCCCGCGCACUCACGUUAGGAUACUUGACGCUUGGGCUGCCCUGCCCUUACCCUGGAUCUGACCUGAGCGCCACGUGGUGCUAGACUGGCAUGUCCUUGCCCUGACAAGAGCCAGACUCGCACCCUCACAUGAAAACACUCGACGCUGGGGUUGCCUUGCCUUGGACAAAGCCAAACCGCUCAACUUGGAUCCAAACAUGCUCCAAGCCCAAUAAACUGGUUUGGCAUGGAAGUGUCCAAGUCCAGUUAGAAGUACUAUAGCAACACUUGGAGUCCUGAUUUUAUUUCCCUAUCUUGGUAAACCGUUACCUAACACUAUUCCUCAUUUCAAACACUCAACGUAAUUUGUGUUAGCAUGGAAAGGUAGCACAAAAAAUUGAUUUCAAAUUAAUUAAUAGGAUUAAUUUAAGAUCAAAGUUGAAAAACUAAUUUUUAAAUGAUCAUUUAUCUGUUUUGUAAUGGGAUUAAUUUAAUGAGAUCAAAGUUGAAUUAAAAACUCAUUUUUAAAUGAUCAUUUAUCUGUUUUUUAAAGACCACGUACUAUAUCUUUGUAGCACUAUUGUCAGCCUGGCAAUGAAAGGCAACAUGGUAAUUAAAAACUUCAAAUUAGUGGUCAACAUUCAACACAUAAAAAAAUAGUGAGAAAGAAAGCAGUCGUUUUUCCAUGUCCCACUUCCACACAAAUGAUCUGUUAAUUUAAUCAAUUUUGAAUUAUGGGAUAGUGACCUAAUUAAUUUAACAAUUCAACAUCUUAAUAUUUUUAAUUGUAAGAGUACUUUCCUCGUCCAUGUUUGACGUCCUUUAUUCUAAACUCAUCCAAGCACUGGUUGUACAACGAAAAUCAAAACCAAACACAUAAAAUAUUAAGAGAGAAGUAGUUAUUUCUCCGUCAAAUAAUUAAAGGAGGAAAGUUUUUUUUUUUAGAGAGAGAAAAGAUGGAAAUAAUUUAAUUCUAUUCAAUGUGUGGGAAUGAAAAGAUCAUUGAUUAAAUUGACGCUAAGGGUUUAAGUAAUUAUGAUAAAGGAAAAUAAAUUGAUAAUAUGUCCAAAGAAUAAGGUCAUGUCUGCAAAUAACAGGGUUGCUCUCUUGGUUGAAAUCUGAUAGUUUUCCACUGUACUGAGUAAAAACAUGUGCAUAUAAAAAUAAAUCUUAAACGGAUAAGUGAUAACGUUGAAGUACAGGCGCUUGAAAAGAAAAACAUCGCAGUUUUCUUGUCUUAAAUUGGGCUGGGUUAGCCGAAAUGUACUCCAUUGAUCGAUUCAUAUAAAGUGACGCUCUUCUGAUAAAUAAUAAUAAAUUGAGGUGCUCAAACAAAAUAAGUAAAAGCUGAAACACUUGAACAGAAAUUUAACCAAAACAGAGGUACUAAAUAACGUCACAUCAUUGCUUCAAUUUUCAAACCAUGAUUAAAUUGUGCACCGAAAACUCCAGAUUUUUCAAACUGAUCAUGAAUCUGGCAUUACAUGCGUUUUAUUCGUACAGUGAUUACGAGGUAGAGAAUUCAAAUCUUCAUUGUGUUGCCGAUGUCGAUAACAAAUCGGUAUCUGACAUCUGUUUUCAAAAGCCGCUCCAUGGCCGUGUUCACAUAAUCCAUCGAGAUAACCUCAAUGUCUGCCGUGAUGUUGUUCUUGGCAGCAAAAUCAAUCAUCUCCUGUGUUUCCUUCAUUCCUCCUAUGCAACUCCCACCCACUAUUUUUCUUCCUGCCAACCCAAGAACAUGGAAUUCGUCGCUGUCAGCUCAAUAAAAUAAAUUUAGAACACAUGGUUGAGAUGCAAGCAUAUAUACAUACCCAUGAUCAGAGGAAACACUGGUAGCUCAAGUGGCUUUUCAGGCGCACCAACCAAGACCAGCUUUCCUUGAGUCUUCAAUAAACUAAUCAAAGGCAAGAUAGGAUGCAUGGCCGACACCGUGUCAAUGACACCAUCCAUUGUGCCCAUAGCAGCCUGAAUAACAGACAAUAUUAUAUUAUGUUUGAUGCUUAAUUAGUUUUACAGAUAAAUACAAGGAAUGUGCUCUGAACCACGUAUAUAUAUACCUGCAUCUCAUCCUGGUCACGACUAACCAAAAACGAGUCAGCGCCAAGAUGCUCAAGGGCUUCUUGUUUCUUCUUGGGAGAGGUGCUGAUAACUGUAACCUUGACCCCCAUGGCCUUUGCAAACUUUACAGCUACAUGACCUAGCCCGCCGAGCCCAACCACGCCCACAUGCAUACCCGGUUUGUCAAGAUUAAAAAACCUCAAGGGGCUGUAAACUGUAAUCCCAGCACAUAGGAGAGGUGCAGCGGCAUCUAGAGGUAGGUUGUCUGGAAUACGAACCACGAAGUGCUCAUCCGUGACCAUGCUGUCUGAGUAGCCUCCGUACGUGGUGGUUCCAUCGUGGUAUUUGGUACUGUAGGUGAGCAUCAUUUUUGGGCAAUAAUUCUCGAGAUCGCUGUUGCAACUAUCGCAAGAGUGGCAUGAUCCAACCAUGCACCCCACCCCCACUUUGUCUCCAACUUUGAACUUCUCGACUUUGCUUCCUACCUCUGUCACUUCCCCAACAAUCUCAUGCCUGCAUUGCCAAUUUAAUUUAAUUUAAUUAACCCUCAGAUGCAAUGCAUGGAUGAAUUGAUUCCAGUCAAAGUUCCUCUAAACAUUUUCCCUGGACUGCCAAUUGCCAUUCAUGAUGUUUAUGUGCAAAACAAAUGAGAAAUAACUAUAUACGGUCGUAGAUUUCUCUUCCUGUGUGUACUUACCCGGGAACUAGAGGGUACAUGGAAGUGCCCCACUCAUUCUUGGCCAUAUGGAGGUCUGAGUGACAUAUUCCACAAAACAGUACCUUGAAUCGCACAUCCUUCUCUCCUGUAGACCUGUUGCAAGAGGUGUUUCUUGCUUAGCAUAAACCGCAAAUGAAAACGAGAGAUAUUCAUAGGUAAAAAGUCUAUCAGAUCGCCAUUUUCACCAACCAUAAUAUUGCUAAACAUAUAUAUAAAGCUAUGAACAUGUGAUUCAAUAAACUUAUUUCACAUAAUAAAAUUAAAAGACUGCCAUAUCUGAUGUAGCCCAUCUUGCAGCUGUGCUGCAUGCUUGUUGGUGUUUAGAAAAACAAGAAGAAACUAGAUCUAAGUAAAACCGAGCUGGACACAGAGAGAGAAGAAGUCCCAUAAUUAAAUAAAGCAGCGACAAGAUGGAGGAGAGGGAAUAACCUCCUGGAGAAUUUGAAAGGAGAGAGGACCCCGGAUUGGUCUCUGGCUGCCCAUCCAAAAGCCUUGGUAGGAUGUUCUUCCUCGUAAGAUUUUUCUGCCAUUUCCACCCUCUUUUUUGCUUUAUUUGGUACUGCCGAGAGAGCGUGCAUGAGCACCAAUUUAUAAUGGCGGGUGGUCUGCCAUUGCUUAUUGGCAGGGAUGACAUCCUGGGUGACCUAAGCACCUUUAGUCGCUCAUCCGUGAGCUAAUCAAUUACCUUGGGAGAAAAGCCAUCUGUCCAGGAGCUAGUUAUAGUUACCUUGACUUCUCGCCAAGUCGCCGUACAACUUUCCCAUAAAGCUAUCUCAAGUAAGCUGUCGUUUACUCUCAACUCUAUUUCCUUGCGUUGAAUUAACAAGUGAAAAAAAAAAAAAAACAGGUGAAUUUCCGGCUUCCAAACCAAUGGUUGUGUGCCUCCCAAUAAAAUAAUAUAUUGGAAAAGUUAAUGUGAUUUUUAAUGCAAGAACUUUUAUGAUUUCCUUAGACGAUGCUUAAAUUUUAUUUGAAUAGAUUUUCCAAAUUAAAAAAUAAAUAAAAUAUGGAUGUCCCUCCAUUUGUGUCAACGUCUCUUGUCGUGUGAUAUGGCAUGGUGAUGUUUCAACAAUUGCUUAAGACACAUUAACUUUAAAACUCUAAAUUAAUUUUUAAAAUAGAGUAAAAUGUACCCGAGUUUAUGAAAUGUUUAAUUAUAUUAUGUUUUUUAAUUGAAAUGUAUGAAAAAAUAUGUUAUUAUUUAUAAAAUAACAGAUCAUGUGUAAAAGUCCUGUUAUUAUAAACACAUGGUAAAUGAGCCCACUUUCAAACAUAUCAAAGAUUUGGAUAUGGUUUUGAAAUUUAAUUUGAUUUGAUCUGAUUGGUCAAUUUGAGACCCAACUAACCCGAAGUUAAAACUUGAAAUUCAGAUCUUGAAGCGGAUCGAAUCUAAAAAUUAUGAGCGCAGAAAAUCAAUUCCAACCUAUUCUAGUCCAGAGAUGGGUUUUGUAAUGAUUUAAAAGUUCAGAAAUGUUUGUAGUAAUCUAGACUAGUGUGUAAGGAUAGAAAUCAAAAUUUUCUAUCCCUUAAAUUUCGUGAUAGUUAAUUUUAUUUUAUUUUUAUAAUUAAAAUAAAUAAUAUAAAAAAUAAAUAAGUUUUUUUUAUUUUUUAUUAAUAAAACAUUAAACAUUGACACAAAAUGAAAUAUUCAAAAUAUUUUUUCAUGUGACAUUAUAAAAGAACAUCAAAACCCUUUAUAAAUAAAAGGGUCUCAAUUUAAAAAAAAAAUUGAAGAUAUAAAAUUUUCUUUUAAGACAAGCAUAUCGAGUAAGGAAACUUUUUAUCUCUAUGGGAGCAAAACAUAGACGACAUCUCAUAAAAGUUUUUUAAUAACAUUUUAAAAACAGAUUAAAAAUACUCUUUAAAAUAUUAAAUCAUUAAAUUUCAUUUUAUAAUAAACGCUAAAAUUCAUAUUUUUAUAAAACAUAAAUCUUGAUUUAAUUUCACAAAUAAAUCAUAUCAUCAUAUUUUUACUUCUUUUAUUUAUCAUUACCUCUCCUUUUUUAUUCUCGUCUUCUCUUCUCAUAGUCUUUUUGUUGUUUUCAAUUUAUUAGGUUUUGAUUUCAUAUAUGGUUAGAUUUUGUACAGCUUUACUUGUUUCACAGUUAGAUUUGUGUGGCCUGGUAUGAACAUCGCUGCAUUGCUUCAUCGCCUUUAAAAUAAUUCAAUAUUUUAUUUUUCUUCUUCAACUCUCUCCUCUUCGUCGCCUUUAAAAUAAUUAAAUAGAACUGUUGACCAUUUGUAGGACAAUGAAAGGCGCUUCAAAAUAUUUUAUUUAUUUAUUUUAAAUUAAUAUAUUUUAAUAUUUUCAAAUCAUAUAUUAAUAUUAAAAAUAAUUUUUAAAAAAAUAAAAAGACAUGAAUAAUAUUUACUUUAACAUAAAAAAUAUUUAAAAAAUAACUCUAACGACGCUGUCAAAUAAACAUGAUAUCACGGUCUAUCAAAGCUUGAUAAACAAGAGAGUCCCAUCUGUGAGUGGGUCCCAAAUGAAACAUAGCCUCCAGAUCUCAAGGACAUCAAACUAGCGUGGGGGAUAGAGGGAGAAAGGUGGGCUGUGAUUUUCCAUGAUUGCUCCUUGUAGUGAUGAAAAGGAGAGGGAAGAAACUUUUUUAAUGUUGUUGACGUGGUUGUUUUUAAUCAUAAUUAAUAACUUGAUUCUAUUAUAUAAAAUUUAAUUAAAUUAGUUGCAAGGAAGUUAUUUAUUAAUAACAAAUAUGUUAAAAAAUAAAUAAGUUACAAUAGUAAUAUUUUUUAUUGGAGUGCAUAUAAGAAAAAAAUCGACCAUAUAUAUACUCUUCAAAAUACCAUUUUAAUAAUUUGGUUACUAUGAAUGGCUUUUGCCACCAUUGGAGAUGUUCCAAAAAGAUAAACAUGAUAUAGUACAUAUUAGAUAGGAAACUUUUCUUAACGUGAAAGAAAAAGAAAAGGUGAUACCGACUUUUUUUAAAAAAAGUAAGAAAAACAUUAUACCUUAAUUAUUAACUUACCAAGAUUUAAUAAACAUGAUUAAUUCAUAAGAUAAUUUUAAAAAUAAAAAUAUUGUAAAUAACAUGAAUAAGACAAAAAAGAGACAAUAAUUAAUUAUACUCUGGAAUUGAAGAAAAAGAAGCCCGUCAUCAACCCAUCAUCGCUUCAUCAUGCAACUGCUCAACUAUAUAAAAUAAAGACAGUUUAAACAUCAUUGUGAAAAGCUUUAUAUCGAUAUUAAAAAAGGCUACACAUGUGGUUAGAAUAAUGAAUUAGAAAAAAACUAAUAAAAAUAUCAUGAGAUGAAUAUCUCAUGCUUAUAUUUUAUUUAAUUUAAAAAUAAAUUUUAAAAAAAGAUAAAUUAAACAAAAAUUGAUAAAUAAAAAGAUAUGAGAUAAUUUGAGUUAUUAUUAAAAUUAGUGAAAUCUCUAUAGAAAAAAAAACAGAGUCCAAUCUUUAAUUUAAUAAAUAUUAAGGGGUUAAACUGAAAAAAUACAAGGUUCAAAAAGAAGAAGAACAAAUCAAGUAAAAUUUCUAAACCCGUGUUAAUCUUCUAAAUUUAUAAUCCCUGAAAUCCUAGCCUCAUGUUUAAUAAAAAAGCUCAAUUAUCAAAAAAAUUAAACCCUGGAGCAUGAAAUCAUUAAAAAGGGAUCAAUCUAGAAAAUAAUUCCAUAGCAAAUAAAAUAACAAGGAUAAAAUUGGAAGAAAAAAACCUUUAAAGGAUGCAAUCGUAAAAAAUUAAACUUUAAAAAAUAAUUUCAAAUAAAAAAAAUAUUAAUUAAAAGAAUAAAGACCAUAUAUAAAAAAUAAAAAAUAUUGACGGAGAUGAGAUUGAAAAAAAAAUCUAGUUUUAUAAAUUAUUUUAAAUAAAAUAAAUAAUAAUAAAAAAACAAGGAAUAAAUAUAAAAAUAUAACAAAGAGAGAAGCUGCUUUUAUUUUUUGCAUGGUAAACAUAAAAAUCAAGGUGAAAGGAAAAGUAGCAGAAAAAAAAGAAGUGUUGCGUGCACUGAAUUGGAUGUCCAUUUGAAACACGCGUCACACCUGGACGAAGAGGAUGCCAAGAAGAAUCUAAUGCCACUCUAGAAGCCACGCAUGUGUGCAAGUUAUUUUUUUUAAUAAUAUCUAUGCUAAGUCAAAUAUCAAACAACCCGUCAAAUAAUAUUAUGAUUACAAAACCCCAAUAUGAAAAAAGAUACAAAGACCAGCGGACCAAAGCUAUAAAAAAUCUAAAACGAUGAAGCCUCUAGAUUCAAGUUUAGAAAAUUUUGCUUUUAAAUUUUACUAUGCUAGAUAAAUAUAUAAAAAGGUUGCUGCCCUUGUCCAAUUCAUAAAUAACUUUACUACCAUUGGAAAAGACUAUACUACCCUCCAUGCAAGGGUUAAUAAUUCUGGCAUGAAUGAAAAAUCCCUACUUCAUUAUUGCAAUAAAUUCACUCCUGGUCCACAAUAUUUGGGGUGGGCACUUGUAGUUUUUUUUUUCCUUCUUAAUAUUGCAUUGCAAUUUUCUUAUUUUAAAUUGAGUUGGGCCAGUCGAUGACAACCACAACAACAGAAGUUGUAAAAAUUCUUGCAAGAACAUCGAUCUAUUUAUAGAAAUUAAGAGGUGCUUAAAGAGUACCAAAAACUGAAGAUGAUUCAAGCUCAUGAAUUCUCACAUUCCAUGCAUUUUAUUCAUACAAUAUUUAUGAGGGAGAAAAUUCAAAUUUUCAUUGUGUUGCCAAUAUCAAUGACAAAUCGAUACCUAACAUCAGUUUUCAAUAGCCGCUCCAUGGCAGUGUUCACAUAAUCCAUUGAAAUCAACUCGAUAUCUGCUGUUAUGUUGUUCUUAGCAGCAAAAUCAAUCAUCUCUUGUGUUUCCUGCAUUCCUCCACCAGCACUCCCACCCACCAUUUUUCUUCCUGUUAGGCCAAUAACAUGGUAGUUAUACUAAUAUUUAUCUGUUCGACUACCCAUGAGAAGAUCAAUGCGGCGAUAAAUUUAGAACACAUACUGAGAUAUAUGCAUUUAUACAUACCCACGAUCAAAGGAAACACUGGUAGCUCAAGUGGUUUCGCAGGCGCACCAACCAAGACCAGCUUUCCUUGAGUCUUCAAUAGACUAAUCAAAGGCAAGAUAGGAUGCAUGGCCGACACCGUGUCAAUUACACCAUCCAUUGUGCCCAUUGCAGACUGAAUAACAAGCAAUAUUAGAUCAUAAAACAAACAUACAGGAUAAAAGAUUUGAUUUGAUGUUUAAUUAGUUUACAAAUGCUAGGAAGGUGCUCUGAAUCAUGUUUAUAUACCUGCAUCUGAUCCUGAUCACGGCUAACCAAAAAUGAGUCGGCACCAAGAUGCUCGAGGGCUUCUUGUUUCUUGUUGGGUGAGGUGCUAAUAACUGUCACCUUGACCCCCAUAGCUUUUGCAAACUUUACAGCUACAUGACCUAGCCCGCCGAGCCCAACCACACCCACAUGCAUACCCGGUUUGUCAAGACCGUAAAAUCUCAAGGGGCUAUACACUGUAAUUCCAGCGCAUAGGAGAGGUGCGGCUGCGUCAAGAGAUAGGUUGUCUGGAAUAUGAACUACGAAGUGCUCAUCUACGACCAUAAUGUCCGAGUAGCCCCCGUAUGUGGUGGUUCCAUCUUGGUAUUUUGCACCAUAUGUGAUUAUCACUUCCGAGCAGUAAUUUUCAAGAUUGUUGCUGCAACUAUCGC